rnacentral:rRNA from 1 species
GGACUCAGAACGAACGCUGGCGGCGCGUUUAAGCAUGCAAGUCGAGCGGCAGGGGGGCCUCGGUCCCCCGAGAGCGGCGGACGGGUGAGUAACACGUGGACAACCUGCCCCCCGGUUCGGGAUAGCCCAGGGAAACCUGGAUCAAUACCGGAUGCGAGGGCGGCCGCACAAGCGGCCGUCGGGAAAAGGCGCUUCGGCGCCGCCGGGGGAUGGGCCGCGUCCCAUUAGCUAGACGGUGGGGUAACGGCCCACCGUGGCGAUGAUGGGUAGCCGGCCUGAGAGGGUGACGGCCACACUGGAACUGAGACACGGUCCAGACUCCUACGGGAGGCAGCAGCUAAGAAUCUUCCGCAAUGGGCGAAAGCCUGACGGAGCGACGCCGCGUGAAAACCGAAGAAGGCCGUGAGGUUGUAAAAGUUCUUCUCGGGAGGGGGAACGAGGCUGCCAGGCAAUGGGCGGCCGAUGACGUGAAUCCCGGAAUAAGCCCCGGCUAACUAUGUGCCAGCCGCAGC